rnacentral:tRNA from 1 species
GUCACUUUGCCGGAGUGGUUAACGGGAUCGCCUGCUAUAACGUUGAAUAUCGCGAAAGCAAGUAUGUAUAUACAGCGGUUGGGCUUUGCCCGCGAGUGUUCGAAUCGCUCAGGUGACG